UGCCAGCUGAGUGGGGCAUGAACCCAUUACCCUGAGAUUAAGAGUCUCAUGGUCUACCUACUGAGCUAGCCCGGC
rnacentral:sRNA from 1 species